UACGGAGGGUGCAAGCGUUAUCCGGAUUCACUGGGUUUAAAGGGUGCGUAGGCGGCCCUGUAAGUCAGUGGUGAAAUCUCUCAGCUUAACUGAGAAACUGCCAUUGAUACUGCAGGGCUUGAGUACAGAUGAUGUUGGCGGAAUAUGACAUGUAGCGGUGAAAUGCAUAGAUAUGUCAUAGAACACCGAUUGCGAAGGCAGCUGACAAAACUGUAACUGACGCUGAGGCACGAAAGUGUGGGGAUCAAACAGG
rnacentral:rRNA from 1 species